rnacentral:rRNA from 1 species
UACAUGUGGGGCAAGCGUUGUUCGGAAUUACUGGGCGUAAAGGGCUCGUAGGCGGCCAACUAAGUCCGACGUGAAAUCCCAAAGCUUAACUUUGGAACUGCGUCGGAUACUGGAUGGCUUGAAUUCGGGAGAGGGAUGCAGAAUUCCAGGUGUAGCGGUGAAAUGCGUAGAUAUCUGGAGGAAUACCGGUGGCGAAGGCGGCAUCCUGGACCGACAUUGACGCUGAGGAGCGAAAGCUAGGGGAGCAAACGGG